UAAUUGGAUUCCGUAGGUUCAGACUGGUUUUAUUACGGCCUUAUAGAGCGUAAUUUUGUUCUGCGUGCCGUCAAAAAGAUGACACCAAAAAGUAUUGAAUAUCAGAUCUAUUCUAUACCUCGUUGGUGAUAUUAUCGAUCUUUUUAUCAUUUUCCACAUUACCGAUUAUAGCGCAGAAUAAGAUUACAACAUUCACAGCGGAGAAAAUUGGGACUAAAUACAUGAAAACUUAAUUGUUUCUAAAAAAUAACAUGUGGAACAAUAUAUAGGAAAAAGGUAUUGUUAUAAAUUUGAUCAUAAAUAAGAUAUGAAAAACUUAAAUCUCAUAUGAGAUAUUUUACCGGAGAAAUAGAAAUACCGACCGGGUAAAACAGUCAAUGGAUCCAUAGGAUUUUUCCACCGCUUGCAAUUCAGAGCGUUCAAAAACAGAAGUGAUUAUGUAGCGAAAUCAUAAAGAAUAACGCUAUAAACAAUUAAAAUAACCUAAAGUUAUACAAAAGUGUCAUUCCGAGGUUAUGAUUUGCUCUAUAUCAAGGAAACGUCAGUUCCGAUACCUUAUUUAUACGUAUAUAAGUAUAUAGAAACGCAAGGUGUAUAAUCUCGUAAAAUUUCAAACUAACCUAAAACAGGGGAACAGUAUAUGUUUUCCUUUAGGAAAAUAUUCAGGUCAGGGUGCUACCUGAGCGCUCAAAGUAAGGGCGCGUAUUACUGCAAAAGGAUUUCAGAUACAUACGCAGGUCGGACGUUUUAUUACAGUUUUCAUCCGCAGAUUAGCCCCUUUGGAACCAUCGAUACUCGAUUCAGGACCUUUAUAGCCCCCCAUAAAAGUAUCUAUUUGGUGUUUUCGACUGGACCGACUGGACCGAAACGCAACUCGAACAAAAAGCUAUCCCCCGGAAUUUCUCGGUAUACGUGAAACGUUGUUACGUCUCGGGGUCCAAUUACGUUAGGAUCGCCGACGUACCUUUACAAUUUCAAAGACGUUGCGCAUCCCUUUCAUUUCCUUUUUUAUCUUCCUCUACAGAUCCUGAUUUUUACUAUUUCAUGGCGCGAUACUGUAGAACUUAGUAUAUACGUAUAUAUGUAUGGAUGGGAAUGUUAAAAGCUUGUGGUUAUACGAUUAGAAUUGUAUGUGUGAGUUUUGAAGAAAGAGGAAGCACUUUUUGACUUCUUUGUGUGCUUAGUGAAGUUUACGGAAUCGUGGAUUUCCACGCUUAGAUCUUUAGGUUAGACUGUUCCUUUUUCCUUGUUUUGUAUAGUAAAGAUUGUAAAUCAUAGAUAUUGUGGCAUACAGAGAAGAAGUUGUUGGAAGCAAGCAACAUGUAUAUAGUUUGAAGUUGUAUUGAGUUAAAAGGGUUUGUAGAGAAUGGCCGUUUGGAGAUUAAUAAUGAAACUACGCUUGGAGUAUAUCGAAAUAAACAUAUGCUAAUUUAAAUAUAUUAAAGAGUAUUUAACACUUAUCGUACAUAUAUUUAUACGUAGUGUUUAGCCAUGUAUACGAUUUUCUCAUAAGUAAUGUUUUUCUUACGGUUGAUAGGUUUGCGAGGAAAAUAGCAGGAAAAUAUCGUGACCGUAAGAGAUAGAAAAGAGACACAACGAGUAGGACGAAAAAUGAAUGAAAUACACUAGAGCGAAGUCAAGUAAAUUAAUGAAGAUGAACAAACAUAUCAAGAGGAAAAGUACACGAAAACAUAAACAAUAUUUAGAAGAAGACUGUUCAAAAGAACAAGGAUAUAAAACCAUAAUACAACGUAAAAAAGGAAUACACAAGAAACAAUACGUAUAUGUAUAUACAAAAAAAUGAAGAACGAGAAAAAAACAAAUAUGACGAGUAGAAGAUGGAGGACAGAGAAGAGAGGGAACGAGUACUCGGUAGCGUGUAAGCCAGCAGGGGUUGGUUUCAGGGGAUGAAGCGUGGUCGGGGUUGGACAUCGAUCUGGUAGUUAAGUUGAGGGCUCCCAUGGGACUCGUUGCCACCUUCGCAGCUUCGUCUCGUCUUGCUUUAUUUGCUCCCUUUCUCAGUAUUCACUGAAUACACACUUUGGAAUCGGUUACCGCGUUGCCUGGCCAUUCACAUAAACCGCAUUACACGUUUUUAUGCUUGUAUUUAUGUACGAUCUAACGAGAGCCAUUCAAGAGCCGUCAUCGAAACAAACCAAGGAACUUUUCCGUAUCGCAAACAAAUCGCCAGGUCGUAAAUGAUAUGUUAUUAUUCUAUAGAUUUGACGAUCUCCAAGAGCGUUUCACGAUCGAAAAUUGACCUCGUUGAAUUUUAGUAGUAUUCCAGUAAUUGCUGGUCGUUAAUGAUUUGUAUUUCUAACGUAUUUAUAAUGUAUUUGUAAAUUUCCGUUAACGAGCAGUAUAUAAAUGAAUACAAGCUCAAAUGUCGCGUCAGUCGUGUGCCAAGAGUGUACAAACAUGUUUCUUGUAACAUACGAUCGUUCUUAUAUCAAUUUAAAUGUGUACAUGUAUUAAUUUCUACAUUUUAUGACCCUGAUCUUCGAGUUUUAAUAUAACAGAAUUUAAGAGUUUUAGAGAAGAGACUAUUAAUCUGUACGACAAUCGUUAAAAAUGAAUGGUCCUAUAUAUAUUGGUCUGAAGAUUACAAGCUUGCAAACGCUCUUAAAAGCACACGGACCGAGGAACUCAAAAGGUGUAGCAGUAAAGCCAGCAUAAAACGCGUUAACACGGAAAGAGUGGAAAAAGGGACGAGAAGAAAAACAAGUCCAGACGCGGAGUCUCGAGAUGGUAAUAAAAAUGAAGGAUUAAAAUUGGCCAUGAUCAGAAACAACAAUGCAUGCUAACAUUUCUCAUGUUCUAAGGCAUGCUUCACCUACGUAGAAUCUUAAGAAUCUGAAGAAUUUCGAGAAUCCUAGAAUUUGAUUUAAUAUAUUCCAUCAUCAUGUCGCGAGAGUUUGUACAAUGUAAAUUUUCUAUUUCGGAAGUAAAAAAUAAGGGAAUAAUACUUUAAUUUUGGAAACUGAAGAAAAUGCUAUGUAGGAUAUUUUAACUGAUUUAUAAAUGCGAUAAUUUAUAUAUGUAUGCAUAUAUAUAUAUAUAUAUAGAUAUGUGUAUAUAUAUAUAUAUAUACAUACACACACACAUGCAGUGGUGCUAGUAUAUAAAUAAAAGAAAAAAUUUUUAUAUAUACUAAAUUGAAUGUAAUUUAGUCAUGGCAAAUAUAAUUGACACAUUCGAAAGACAAAUUAAGUACCUCUAUCCUCUGAAUGAUAUUUUCAGAAUUGGUUACUAAAUGCGAAUUUGAUAUGAUCGAACACUUAGUUAUUUUAUAUUUUUCAAUGACGUAAUUAAUUGAAUUUAUGAGUGGACAUUUUCUUUUAAUUAUUCGUACGCUCACCACUGUAUAUAGCAUAAGCCGAUGAAUUAAAAAUGAAAAAUUCCAUGUUUUAUCGCAUUUAUUUUUCGAUCUUCUAUUCUCCCGAUUUGCGGCGAACACGAUUUCGAACGAUUUCCUAAUGAAUUUACGAUAAUAUGGCACGUAUGUAACUGCACAAUUUUCUCUCUGAUUCGGAUACGUAAAAAUUAGAAAUGACGGGCACUAAUAACAAUACACUUCGUUAAUUAUAUCUCAAAAAUUAAGAAUAUAAAGAUAAGUUUGUAAAAAGAAGUAUUCCUUGAAAAUAAUUAAUUCAAAUAAUAAUAAUAAUAAUAGAAAUAACAGUAGUAACAACAACAACAUUAAUUAUUAUUA